GCAAGUCGAACGGCAGCACGGGUGCUUGCACCUGGUGGCGAGUGGCGGACGGGUGAGUAAUACAUCGGAACGUGCCCAGUAGUGGGGGAUAGCCCGGGGAAACUCGGAUUAAUACCGCAUACGCCCUAAGGGGGAAAGUGGGGGAUCUUCGGACCUCACGCUAUUGGAGCGGCCGAUGGCUGAUUAGCUAGUUGGUAGGGUAAAAGCCUACCAAGGCGACGAUCAGUAGCUGGUCUGAGAGGACGAUC
rnacentral:rRNA from 1 species